rnacentral:rRNA from 1 species
GACGAACGCUGGCGGCGUGCUUAACACAUGCAAGUCGAACGGGCCUGUCUUCUUUUUUGGGGGUGGGUUGAGUGGCGAACGGGUGAGUAUCACGUGAGUAACCUGCCCUUCGGUCCUGGAUAACCGCUUGAAAGGGCGGCUAAUACGGGGUGGUCCGGUUGGUCCGCAUGGGCUGGUCGGGAUAGAUUCACUGUUUUUGGUGUUUCGGCGGGGGAUGGGCUCGCGGCCUAUCAGCUUGUUGGUGGGGUGAUGGCCUACCAAGGCGGUGACGGGUAGCCGGCCUGAGAGGGUGGGCCGCCAGACUGGGACUGAGAUACGGCCCAGACUCCGGCGGGAGGCAGCAGUGGGGGGGAUUGCACAAGGGGCGGAAGCCUGAUGCAGCGACGUCGCGUGAGGGAUGGAGGCCUUCGGGUUGGGAACCUCUGUUUCCGGUGGUGAAGGCCCUGUCCGUGUGGUGGGGUUGACGGUAGCCGGGGAUGAAGCGCCGGCUAACUACGUG